GAUGAACGCUGGCGGCGUGCUUAACACAUGCAAGUCGAACGAAGCACUGAAUAACUUUCGGGUUAAACGGUGACUUAGUGGCGGACGGGUGAGUAACGCGUGGGUAACCUGCCUUAUACAGGGGGAUAACAGCUGGAAACGGCUGCUAACACCGCAUAAGCGCACAGCUUCGCAUGAUGCAGUGUGAAAAUAUUUAUAGGUAUAAGAUGGACCCGCGUCUGAUUAGCUAGUUGGUGAGGUAAUGGCCCACAAGGCGACGAUCAGUAGCCGGCUUGAGAGAGUGAACGGCCACAUUGGGACUGAGACACGGCCCAAACUCCUACGGGAGGCAGCAGUGGGGAAUAUUGCACAAUGGGGGAAACCCUGAUGCAGCGACGCUGCGUGAGUGAAGAAGUAUUUCGGUAUGUAAAGCUCUAUCAGCAGGGACGAUAAUGACGGUACCUGACUAAGGAGCCCCGGCUAACUACGUGCCAGCAGCCGCCGUAACAC
rnacentral:rRNA from 1 species